GGCACCAAGGACAGCAAAUGCUGACAAAGAGAAGAGACGGACAAGCAUUUUCUUGUGAUUAAUACCGAAGGGACGGGAUGAAACAAGGAAGCCAAAAUGCAGUGGACCCUCGAUAUCACCAGGAACUGCUACAGGAGGCGGCGUUCUGGCACGGGUAACUAAGGGCGAUGGAUUUUACUCUGCCUCCAUCAACAGGCGCUGGCUGGCAAAGUCGUCGUGUCCCAGCAGAGACUCUUAGGCAGGACAGGAGGAGUUCGGAUCCGCAGCCUGCCAGAAGAGCGUCGCCUGGGAGGGGUCACUAGCCUUGAGCUACAGGCGCUGGUGCCGAAGCCCAGUCGGGCAGUCGAAGGAGCCUCAUCGCAGCUGGGAGCUCUGCGGAGAUGCGCGGCCGGCUGUGGAGGAUGAGCUCUGACUUGCGGCGUGGACACGGCUAAGUCCUGGGCUGCAUCGUACGCGAGUGGGGCUGGGAGGUGCGAGGCGUUCGUCCCCUAGCCGUGGUCACUGGCGCCGCUGGCUGUGGCCGUUUGCCCACGGAGCUGAGAGGACCAAACAUACUAAUUGCCUGACCCGGAGAUGAAUUAGUGCUUGCAGGCUUUCAGGUAGGUUCAGUGCAAGUGCAGCUUAGUGCAGUCCCGUGGAGUGACGCUUGCACAUGCUCACAUUUGAAUGGUGGCUAAAACCAAGCCUCUAAACAGCAACUGUAAGGCAAUUCUGGUGCUUGUUUUCCUGUUCUGCUGUACUUCUAAAGGAAGGGAAAGCUUCCUAAGCUGCAGGCAAAACUCCUUGGCUUCUCUUGACUGUUUCCAUGCUCUGGAAACAGCUUUGGGUGCUUUGAUGCUUGUUGCUUAAAGCUGAGGGUUUGGAAUUUUUCACUUAAGGUUGAUUGUUUAGCUUGCUGCUGAGGGUCUCUCACCCAGGAGUUACGGGUUAUUCCUUUCUUUUGUGGGGCUCACUCUUUAUCAGUCAGGGUUUACAGUUUGCUCAUGUAGCAAUCGGGGCGCAGAAUUUAAAAUCCAACCCCGUCCCUUGUCCCGAUCCAAUAUCGGGGGGGUUUCGUUACGAUCCCAAGGACGUGAUUAAGACGCUAAAACCGGUCAAAUAUCGUACAACCGUUUAACAUUAUUUUCCACAAAGUGGGGAGGAAAGGUGGGGAAAGGCGAAGGAGAGGCGAAGGGAAGAGGGGAACAAGGGUAAGGAGAAAAGACAGAGAAAGCUGGAAAAGGAGAGAAAGAGCUGGCUACCACCAGUCCAAGUCAAAUGAUGUUCUGCUGACUCCGUUCGAAUUACAGCUCAGGCUGGGUGCCUCCGAAGAGGGACCCCAAACAAAGAAAUCCCUGGGCAAUGAUACUUUCCAAUCUAAGCUCUCCACCCUUCACACAGUAGUUUGGACCAAUAGUAAUAUUUAGGUCUGGGGUCUCCUGCUGCUUAUUGGGUCCCUCGGUAGGUUGUUUACUGUUGCGGUUUCUGCUGGUGGAUGUGUCUUCAUUCUUCGGGUCCUGCCCUUGUCUCUCAAGGCCCUGACAAAUCAGUACUGCCCCAGCAGUGAUAGUAGGUGUUAUUUCCCAAGGUCCAGACAAAGGGAAUAUAAUCUGGACCCCGAGAUAGUCCAGACCCCCCCCUAAUCAGCACUGUUUCAGCAGCGAGAGGAGCCCCAUCAUCCAACUAUGAUGGCAGUUCUUUGACCAUUUGCUUGUCCAGCCACUCAGACCAUAGAGGCCUAGUUUGUGUGCAAGUAUACUGUGGGAGAAAGUGUCAAAAGCCUUCCGAAAGUUGAGGUAACUGACGUUCACUGCUCUCUGUUCGUCCAUAAAUAGAGUUCUUUUAACAUAGAAAGCCAUCACGUUGGUGAGGCAUGAUUUCCCCUCAGGAAAUCUGUGCUGACUGUUCCCAGGCACCUCAUUCUCCUUCCUUUACCUGGAAAUGUGAUCAGAGGGGGCUCGCUGCAUGACACUCUCCUCAUCAAAGUGAGUCUGAACGGCCUGUAGUUGCCCAGGUUGUGCUUGUGGCCUUUGUGGAAGAGGGAUGUAACAUUUGCCCUUCUGCAGUCAUUGGGUCCUCCCUGAGUCUCCACAGCUUUCCAAGAUGACAGA